rnacentral:rRNA from 1 species
UACGGAGGGUGCGAGCGUUGUCCGGAAUCAUUGGGCGUAAAGGGCGCGUAGGUGGCGGGACAAGCGUGCGGUGAAAGCUCGGGGCUCAACCCCGCGUCGGCCGUGCGAACUGUUUGCUUGAGCACUGUAGAGGCAGGCGGAAUUCCGGGUGUAGCGGUGGAAUGCGUAGAGAUCCGGAAGAACACCGGUGGCGAAGGCGGC